rnacentral:siRNA from 1 species
AUCUAUCGGGUUAGAGGAAUGGU